AGCGAAUUAGUGAAAUGGUAUCAUCGCUAGCUCAUGCCUAGCCGUUCUGGGUUCGAUUCCCAGGUUCGCAU